rnacentral:rRNA from 1 species
AACCGGAUUAGAUACCCUGGUAGUCCACGCUGUAAACGAUGUCGAUUUGGAGGUUGUGCCCUUGAGGCGUGGCUUCCGGAGCUAACGCGUUAAAUCGACCGCCUGGGGAGUACGGCCGCAAGGUUAAAACUCAAAUGAAUUGACGGGGGCCCGCACAAGCGGUGGAGCAUGUGGUUUAAUUCGAUGCAACGCGAAGAACCUUACCUACUCUUGACAUCCAGAGAACUUUCCAGAGAUGGAUUGGUGCCUUCGGGAACUCUGAGACAGGUGCUGCAUGGCUGUCGUCAGCUCGUGUUGUGAAAUGUUGGGUUAAGUCCCGCAACGAGCGCAACCCUUAUCCUUUGUUGCCAGCGGUUCGGCCGGGAACUCAAAGGAGACUGCCAGUGAUAAACUGGAGGAAGGUGGGGAUGACGUCAAUCAUCAUGGCCCUUACGAGUAGGGCUACACACGUGCUACAAUGGCGUAUACAAAGAGAAGCGACCUCGCGAGAGCAAGCGGACCUCAUAAAGUACGUCGUAGUCCGGAUUGGAGUCUGCAACUCUGACUCCAUGAAGUCGGAAUCGAAA